CAGUAGCCGCGGUAACACCAGCAGCCCAAGUGGUGGUCGCGAUUAUUGGGCCUAAAGCGCUCGUAGCCGGGCCGGUAAGUCCCUUGUGAAAUCGGACGGCCUAACCGUUCGGCGUGCAAGGGAUACUGUCGGUCUUGAGGCCGGGAGACGUCCGAGGUACUCCGGGGGUAGCGGUGAAAUGUUCUGAUCCUCGGGGGACCACCGGUGGCGAAGGCGUUCGACGAGAACGGGCCUGACGGUGAGGGGCGAAGGCUAGGGGAGCAAACGGGAUUAGAUACCCCGGUAGUCCCUGUCUCUUAUA
rnacentral:rRNA from 1 species